AGAGUAAUUUUAAUAAUAGAAAACAAUGAGGAAAAAUUAGGCUACCAAGUGGUGGAUCCCAAAUAUGAAUGAAUUUUACUCUUCUUCAUACUUUUCUAUUAUGUUCCAUAAUGUUCACAAUGGACUCAUAUUAAUUCCGUACUCAGAAAAAUAUACUUCAUUAUUGUUUGUUUGUUGUUUUCUUUUGGUUUGGUUUGGAGCAAGAUCAGCUGGUGUGUUCAGCAGUCAAGCCCCACUUUGGGAGACUCAGUGCCUGAGCCCAGGUCAGAAAAACAAUAUGCAGGUAAUGGAUGUUCCUCACCCUAAGGAGCUGGAUCUCAGAGACAGAAACUAUGAAUGGGUCUCCUGGGAAAAGAGUGUUUGUGUUCUUUGCAAGUUAAGCACCUCACCAAUGGAUCAACUCACUAGGUCACUGAUUACCCUCAAGAUGCUGAUCAAAGGCCCAACAACCACACUGCCCGCCAGCAGCAAAGGCAAAAACCACUGAAUGAAGAAUUUGAUAAAGACCACACGUCUUAUGCCAUCUGGGAACUUCAUACUGACUCAGGUUUCUAGAACUAAUCUGUAAUUUGCUUGUGGAAAGGCUGGAUGGAUUGAAUUGUAUACAUUUUACUACAGAGGGUAGUAAGAACUCUCUUGGUUGAGAAAAAUAAAAGGAAAUAUCUUUC